CCAGUUGCUCAGACAUUGGUAAUUUUGUUUAGACUGCAUUUCUAACUUUGUUUUUUAAUUUAAAUUUUCUCACCUUAAAUAAAUGCUUAUAAUUGCUUAAUGAUAUAUUUCUUUUUCUUAAAGGUAAAUUAUGUUCUUGAUAUUUUAAUAUGAUCUCAACCUCAAUUUAUUUGUCAUUCAAGCACUAAUUAAAAAUUAGUUCAUUGAAGUGACUAUUGUACUAUGGACUGAUAUCAUCAUCUGCAUCAGUAAGAAUCCUAAAGUGAGAAUAUUUAUGAGAUACGUGUGAGAAUCUAACCUUUCGAAGUGAAUGCCUUGAUGGACACCUGUUGGGACAUAAUUUUUUCUUACUAUUCAGAGUGAUUUUAAUUUCUGUUCUUGCAAAUAUGGAGAGAUAUGUUAAAUAAUUUUUAUACGUAACUACUUUAGACUUGGAGAAUGAGGAAACACACAUAAACAUGUAGAAGCAAGUCUUAUAUGAUGCUGUUGCAGAAACAUAUUUAAUGCAGGAAAUUUGGGAAGUACUUUUUUUAAACUAUAAUAUGCUCAUAAGCUUCUAUUUCUGUUGUUUCAGAUUUGGUUGGAGAUGUGUUAUUACUUGUGCUGUACUGCAUUUUUCAUUCUAACCUCUCCUCAAAGUAGCAAUAUAGUCAUGCAGAGUUUCGUUCUUGAACACAAUGGUUAUAGCCUGUACAGCUAGUAAUUUGGCUCUGUUUGCCUGUAUCAAAUUUUUUUUCAUGAAGAUAUCUCUUAUUUGUUAAAAGUGACAUGUAGAGUUGUUUACA
rnacentral:misc_RNA from 1 species